rnacentral:rRNA from 1 species
CCUACGGGAGGCAGCAGUAAGGAAUAUUGGUCAAUGGACGCAAGUCUGAACCAGCCAUGCCGCGUGCAGGAUGACGGCCCUACGGGUUGUAAACUGCUUUUGUACGGGAAAAAACCCCCCGAUGUGUCGGGGGCUGAUGGUACCGUGCGAAUAAGGAUCGGCUAACUCCGUGCCAGCAGCCGCGGUAAUACGGAGGAUCCAAGCGUUAUCCGGAUUUAUUGGGUUUAAAGGGUGCGUAGGCGGACUAAUAAGUCAGAGGUGAAAUCCUGCAGCUUAACUGUAGAAUUGCCUUUGAUACUGUUAGUCUUGAAUAUAGUUGAGGUGGAUGGAAUGUAUCAUGUAGCGGUGAAAUGCUUAGAUAUGAUACAGAACACCGAUCGCGUAGGCAGUUCACCAAACUAUUAUUGACGCUGAGGCACGAAAGCAUGGGGAGCAAACAG